UAAUACAUGCAAGACGAGCGAACAGAAAAGGAGCUUGCUCCUUUGACGUUAGCGGCGGACGGGNGAGNAACACGUNGGCAACNUACCCUAUAGUUUGGGAUAACUCCGGGAAACCGGGGCUAAUACCGAAUAAUCUCCUUUGCUUCAUGGUGAAAGACUGAAAGACGGUUUCCGCUGUCGCUAUAGGAUGGGCCCGCGGCGCAUUAGCUAGUUGGUGAGGUAACGGCUCACCAAGGCGACGAUGCGUAGCCGACCUGAGAGGGUGAUCGGCCACACUGGGACUGAGACACG
rnacentral:rRNA from 1 species